rnacentral:snoRNA from 3 species
CUGCAAAUAUUCUCGCUGUUCUGAUUGUGUCAUAAUCAGGGCAGGCUAAACAUUUGCUAUAGUAAGACCAUGCAUGUGUCCCCAGACCUUGAUCUUUCCCUAGGUCUGGUUUUAUAAAUGCUGCUGAUAAAU